UGGAGAAUCUGUGUCGAUCAUGAGGCGAGGAGUAAUCGAUGUUUGGACCAUGAGGGAUGAUCCCAAAAGGGUUAAUAGAAGGGUGGCUUCCAUAGUAAUGCUGCUUGAUGUGAUUCAUGUUCACGGUGCUACUCAUACCAGGGACUUGAAAUAUAUCUUUCGUGUAGUUGAACAGAUUCGGAUACUCCCUUAACAGUUUCUUGUUGCACUUGAAGUGAACCGCGUAAACCUGCAUCAUCAACGUUUCAAAAUCACAUACUCGUUCCCUUAAUUGUGUUCUUUUUCAGUUCUUGUCGGUUUUCACUUACCUCGUCAAAUCUUAUAAGCGUCACAAACAACCUGAUAUCUGUUUCAGUCAGAGUGUUACCGCAGAUGUAACGAUGCUUUCCAAGAAUCUCCUCGCAUCUAUCUAAUGCUUCAUACACUUGCUGCACUGCCUACAAACAAGAACCAUAACUCUCAUGGGUGGGAUCAAUAAUAAACACUAUGUAACGUUUCUAGCACUUACCUCCUCGUAAGGUUCUUGUUUUUUUGCAAACCCACAUCUAUAGACACCGUUGUUAAUCCCACUGUAGAUCCAUUCGUUAGCUUCAUCGAUUUUAGCUUGGAGAUGAGAAGGGUAAAGGUCAAGAUCAGGGUUUCUCGCAAUAUGAUUGAACUCGGUGUUGAACAUCCUGAUUAUCUCUGCGCUCUCAUUGUUCACAACGGUCUUGAGCUUCUUAUCCCACAGAACCUGU
rnacentral:lncRNA from 1 species